rnacentral:rRNA from 1 species
CCUACGGGAGGCAGCAGUGAGGAAUAUUGGUCAAUGGGCGCGAGCCUGAACCAGCCAAGUCGCGUGAGGGAAGACGGUCCUAUGGAUUGUAAACCUCUUUUGUCGGGGAGCAAAAGACGCCACGCGUGGCGUUCCGAGAGUACCCGAAGAAAAAGCAUCGGCUAACUCCGUGCCAGCAGCCGCGGUAAUACGGAGGAUGCGAUCUUUAUCGGGAUUUAUUGGGUGUAAAGGGUGCGCAGGCGGAAGAUCAAGACAGCGGUAAAAUUGAGAGGCUCAACCUCUUCGAGCAGUUGAAACUGGUUGUCUUGAGUGAGCGAGAAGUAUGCGGAAUGCGGGGUGUAGCGGUGAAAUGCAUAGAUAUCACGCAGAACUCCGAUUGCGAAGGCAGCAUACCGGCGCUCAACUGACGCUGAUGCACGAAAGUGUGGGUAUCGAACAGGAUUAGAUACCCUUGUAGUC